rnacentral:rRNA from 1 species
GAUGAACGCUGGCGGCGUGCUUAACACAUGCAAGUCGAACGGAAAGGCUCCUGCUUGCAGGGGUACUCGAGUGGCGAACGGGUGAGUAACACGUGGGUGAUCUGCCCUGCACUUCGGGAUAAGCCUGGGAAACUGGGUCUAAUACCGGAUAGGACGAUGGUUUGGAUGCCAUUGUGGAAAGUUUUUCGGUGUGGGAUGAGCUCGCGGCCUAUCAGCUUGUUGGUGGGGUAAUGGCCUACCAAGGCGUCGACGGGUAGCCGGCCUGAGAGGGUGUACGGCCACAUUGGGACUGAGAUACGGCCCAGACUCCUACGGGAGGCAGCAGUGGGGAAUAUUGCACAAUGGGCGCAAGCCUGAUGCAGCGACGCCGCGUGGGGGAUGACGGCCUUCGGGUUGUAAACUCCUUUCGUCAGGGACGAAGCGAAAGUGACGGUACCUGGAUAAGAAGCACCGGCUAACUACGU